rnacentral:rRNA from 1 species
GUGAGGAAUAUUGGACAAUGGGCGCAAGCCUGAUCCAGCCAUGCCGCGUGCAGGAAGACGCAUCUAUGGUGUGUAAACUGCUUUUGUACGGGAAGAAACACUCCCUCGUGAGGGAGCUUGACGGUACCGUAAGAAUAAGGAUCGGCUAACUCCGUGCCAGCAGCCGCGGUAAUACGGAGGAUCCAAGCGUUAUCCGGAAUCAUUGGGUUUAAAGGGUCCGUAGGCGGUUUUAUAAGUCAGUGGUGAAAGCCCAUCGCUCAACGAUGGAACGGCCAUUGAUACUGUUAGACUUGAAUUACAAGGAAGUAACUAGAAUAUGUAGUGUAGCGGUGAAAUGCUUAGAUAUUACAUGGAAUACCAAUUGCGAAGGCAGGUUACUACUUGUGGAUUGACGCUGAUGGACGAAAGCGUGGGGAGCGAACAGGAUUAGAUACCCUGGUAGUCC